UCAUUUGCCCGUGACGGUAGUUGCUAUUUUUUUCAGGUUUGAGAGGAGCCAUUUGUGUGCAAUAGAUCUGAGAGUUGUGCCAUGGUUGUCAUUUUUGGAGGGCAAGUUUGUCUAACUUGAUAUGGGCAUGGAGCCAUCCCUGGGGAGCCAGUCAACCUGGUCCAGCGCAUUGUUGGUAGGCUCGGGGUUAUCUGGGCAUGGUAGACCGCCUCAAGGCCUUCAAGGGCUCCAUCGACCUCCAUUCAGUUCACACGGGUCGACACGAACUGACGGCGAUGAACCCCUAGCAGGGAUGGCGCGGGUAUGGCGGUCAGCAGCGGCAUGGGAGGUCAUCGGCCAGCAGGAGUGCGGUACGCUGGGGUAGCCCUUCCCGUUCAUAUACCAUAUGGUAUAGAUCAGCAAGCGAUCAGUGGCUCGAACGAUUUCUUAUGCCCACAGGUUUGUAAAGUGUCCCUUUUUUGUUUGUGCAUAGAAUUGAUCCGCCCGAAAUGUUUUACGACUUAAUAUUGUAAAAUUAGCGGCGAUUCUUUUCUAUUA